GGAAAAGAUUGCUAAUACCGCAUAACAUAUGUUUGUCGCAUGGCAGACAUAUCAAAGAUUUUAUCGCUCAAAGAUGGACUCGCGUCCGAUUAGUUAGUUGGUGAGGUAACGGCUCACCAAGACCGCGAUCGGUAGCCGGACUGAGAGGUUGAACGGCCACAUUGGGACUGAGACACGGCCCAGACUCCUACGGGAGGCAGCAGUGGGGGAUAUUGCGCAAUGGGGGCAACCCUGACGCAGCAACGCCGCGUGAAGGAUGAAGGUUUUCGGAUUGUAAACUUCUUUUAUUAAGGACGAAAUUUGACGGUACUUAAUGAAUAAGCUCCGGCUAACUACGUGCCAGCAGCCGCGGUAAUACGUAGGGAGCAAGCGCUGUCCGGAUUUACUGGGUGUAAAGGGUGCGUAGGCGGCUUUGCAAGUCAGAUGUGAAAUCUAUGGGCUCAACCCAUAAACUGCAUUUGAAACUGUAGAGCUUGAGUGAAGUAGAGGCAGGCGGAAUUCCCCGUGUAGCGGUGAAAUGCGUAGAGAUGGGGAGGAACACCAGUGGCGAAGGCGGCCUGCUGGGCUUUAACUGACGCUGAGGCACGAAAGCGUGGGUAGCAAACAGGAUUAGAUACCCUGGUAGUCCACGCUGUAAACGAUGAUUACUAGGUGUGGGGGGUCUGACCCCUUCCGUGCCGGAGUUAACACAAUAAGUAAUCCACCUGGGGAGUACGGCCGCAAGGUUGCAACUCAAAUGAAUUGACGGA
rnacentral:rRNA from 1 species